rnacentral:rRNA from 1 species
UACGUAGGUGGCAAGCGUUGUCCGGAAUUAUUGGGCGUAAAGAGCUCGUAGGCGGUCUGUCGCGUCUGCUGUGAAAACUCGGGGCUUAACUCCGGGCCUGCAGUGGGUACGGGCAGACUAGAGUGCGGUAGGGGAGACUGGAAUUCCUGGUGUAGCGGUGAAAUGCGCAGAUAUCAGGAGGAACACCGGUGGCGAAGGCGGGUCUCUGGGCCGUAACUGACGCUGAGGAGCGAAAGCGUGGGGAGCGAACAGG